GAGAGGGUGAAUGAAAUCACAAGGGAAUACUAUGAUGCCAUUACUGAUGAACUGAAUCCAGAUCUUGAAACAGAAGACACACCAGGUAUCUACGAUGAUGUUAUCACUAACGGACAGAACUCUGAGAAUUAUGUUGAUGUCAUCGUUAAUGGACAGGACUCUCAAAGUGUAAAAGAGGGAGAUCAGGAGGAGUAUGAUGAUGUGAAGAACAGCAAUGAAGAUGACAGAAGCCUGUUGGACUAUGAUGAUGUGGGGGAGGAAUCAAAAUUAGGACUGGACUUUAUAACUUAAAGGCCACACCCACUGCUUCGGUUCAUGACAUCUCAAUCUGACAGCUAGAGUUGGGUUUAAAUGAUUUUACAGCUACUUCAGUUCUCAUUGAUGGGUUAAACUACAUGCAUUUUAAAUAAGUUUUAAAUUGCUUUACCAUUUCUAUGAUUCUCUUUUUGUCUUUCUUUAACAAACUUUUUAAUGGUCACAAAAACAAUGAAAACACACACACACACACACAC